AAGAUCAUACUUUUAGGGAUCAUUUCUAUAGUAUGUAUCGCAAGGAAUUUCGGUAAAUCUGAAAUCCCAGCAUUCAACCACGAUGACGAGUUGAAGCAAGAUUUCCUGAGCGUGAAGCGGGCGUUCGGAGUUUCCUUCGGGAAACACGCCGAACGCCAUUGAGGAACGUUCCUCUCAGCCUUCGGGUUGAGCAGGAGGGAUCUCUUGCAUUCAGAGUGGU
rnacentral:snoRNA from 1 species